rnacentral:rRNA from 1 species
GACGAACGCUGGCGGCGUGCUUAACACAUGCAAGUCGAACGGAAAGGCCCUGCUUUUGUGGGGUGCUCGAGUGGCGAACGGGUGAGUAACACGUGAGUAACCUGCCCUUGACUUUGGGAUAACUCCAGGAAACUGGGGCUAAUACCGGAUAGGAGCUCCUGCUGCAUGGUGGGGGUUGGAAAGUUUCGGCGGUUGGGGAUGGACUCGCGGCUUAUCAGCUUGUUGGUGGGGUAGUGGCUUACCAAGGCUUUGACGGGUAGCCGGCCUGAGAGGGUGACCGGCCACAUUGGGACUGAGAUACGGCCCAGACUCCUACGGGAGGCAGCAGUGGGAAAUAUUGCACAAUGGGCGGAAGCCUGAUGCAGCAACGCCGCGUGCGGGAUGACGGCCUUCGGGUUGUAAACCGCUUUCGCCUGUGACGAAGCGUGAGUGACGGUAAUGGGUAAAGAAGCACCGGCUAACUACGUG